rnacentral:rRNA from 1 species
CCCUUUGGGUGUGACUGCGUACCUUUUGUAUAAUGGGUCAGCGACUUAUAUUCUGUAGCAAGGUUAACCGAAUAGGGGAGCCGGAGGGAAACCGAGUCUUAACCGGGCGUUAAGUUGCAGGGUAUAGACCCGAAACCCGGUGAUCUAGCCAUGGGCAGGUUGAAGGUUGGGUAACACUAACUGGAGGACCGAACCGACUAAUGUUGAAAAAUUAGCGGAUGACCUGUGGCUGGGGGUGAAAGGCCAAUCAAACCGGGAGAUAGCUGGUUCUCCCCGAAAGCUAUUUAGGUAGCGCCUCGUGAAUUCAUCUCCGGGGGUAGAGCACUGUUUCGGCUAGGGGGCCAUCCCGGCUUACCAACCCGAUGCAAACUGCGAAUACCGGAGAAUGUUAUCACGGGAGACACACGGCGGGUGCUAACGUCCGUCGUGAAGAGGGAAACAACCCAGACCGCCAGCUAAGGUCCCAAAGUCAUGGUUAAGUGGGAAACGAUGUGGGAAGGCCCAGACAGCCAGGAUGUUGGCUUAGAAGCAGCCAUCAUUUAAAGAAAGCGUAAUAGCUCACUGGUCGAGUCGGCCUGCGCGGAAGAUGUAACGGGGCUAAACCAUGCACCGAAGCU